rnacentral:lncRNA from 12 species
AGAAGCCUUUCUUCCCAAGAGUGUUUACAUGAAUAUGAAAACACCGACUACAUCUCUUUGAAAAUAUGGUCAUGUAACAGUGGUAGUAAGUCUGAAUUUUCUGCUAGUGUAAAUGAGCAGAGCUGCUUGAGCCCAUAGAUCUUUUCAAUGACUGGAUGGAACAGAG